rnacentral:rRNA from 1 species
AGUGAACGCUGGCGGUAGGCCUAACACAUGCAAGUCGAACGGCAGCACAGUAAGAGCUUGCUCUUACGGGUGGCGAGUGGCGGACGGGUGAGGAAUACAUCGGAAUCUACUUUUUCGUGGGGGAUAACGUAGGGAAACUUACGCUAAUACCGCAUACGACCUACGGUUGAAAGCAGGGGAUCUUCGGACCUUGCGCGAUUGAAUGAGCCGAUGUCGGAUUAGCUAGUUGGCGGGGUAAAGGCCCACCAAGGCGACGAUCCGUAGCUGGUCUGAGAGGAUGAUCAGCCACACUGGAACUGAGACACGGUCCAGACUCCUACGGGAGGCAGCAGUGGGGAAUAUUGGACAAUGGGCGCAAGCCUGAUCAAGCCAUACCGCGUGGGUGAAGAAGGCCUUCGGGUUGUAAAGCCCUUUUGUUGGGAAAGAAAAGCAGCAGGUUAAUACCCCGCUGUUCUGACGGUACCCAAAGAAUAAGCACCGGCUAACUUCGUG